rnacentral:rRNA from 1 species
UACGUUGGUCCCGAACGUUGCGCGAAUUUACUGGGCGUAAAGGGUCCGUAGGCGGUUUAGCAAGUGGUUGGUGAAAUUUCACGGCUCAACCGUGAAACUGCCUUCCAAACUGCUAAACUUGAGGCAGGGAGAGGUCGGCGGAAUUCCAGGUGUAGCGGUGAAAUGCGUAGAUAUCGGGAGGAACACCAGUGGCGAAGGCGGCCGACUGGAACUGUCCUGACGCUGAGGGAAGAAAGCUAGGGGAGCAAACCGG